rnacentral:rRNA from 1 species
AUUGAACGCUGGCGGCAUGCUUUACACAUGCAAGUCGAACGGUAACAGGCCGCAAGGUGCUGACGAGUGGCGAACGGGUGAGUAAUGCAUCGGAACGUGCCCAGUCGUGGGGGAUAACGCAGCGAAAGCUGCGCUAAUGCCGCAUACGAUCUAUGGAAGAAAGCGGGGGACCGUAAGGCCUCGCGCGAUUGGAGCGGCCGAUGUCAGAUUAGGUAGUUGGUGGGGUAAAGGCUCACCAAGCCGACGAUCUGUAGCUGGUCUGAGAGGACGACCAGCCACACUGGGACUGAGACACGGCCCAGACUCCUACGGGAGGCAGCAGUGGGGAAUUUUGGACAAUGGGCGCAAGCCUGAUCCAGCAAUGCCGCGUGCAGGAAGAAGGCCUUCGGGUUGUAAACUGCUUUUGUACGGAACGAAACGGCUCUGGUUAAUACCUGGGGCUAAUGACGGUACCGUAAGAAUAAGCACCGGCUAACUACGUGCCAGCAGCCGCAGUAAGAC